AAUUUCUCUAAAACUUAUUGAAUAUUUUCCUCCCUACAUCUUGCCAUUGAAAUUACCCCACCUGGAAGAAAGUAAUGCUGUCUGGCUGGUGUGCCAUGGAAGGAGACAUCACUGUACUUAGACUCACCCCAGCGCUUCUGCCCACACAACUUCCUUUCUCGAAGUCACGCUGUAGAGAGAAAAUUUUUUCCUUCCACUUGCUCAGCAGAGCAUGCAGCUUCCAUGAACUGAGGCACACCGUUAAACUAAUCUUCACCAGCUUUCACUCAUUGUCUGGAAAAGUUGCUGUGAGCGGCUCUGAUCGGCCUGUGAGUAAUUCCACAGAAUUACGACCAUCCCAGCUAAUCGGGACUGGCCAGAUGAGACUGAGACAGCCAAAAGCAGAGGGUGGGAGGUUUGAUCAUUUUGUACAACAGCUCAAAAACCAAUUUCUUAAAAAGUGCUCUAAAAUAAAGUGAUAAAAGCGGGCAAACUCCCAGCCUGCUUUACAUCACCAAAUCCCAGUCAAACGAGAGGACCCAAAUAAAACUGCCUCCCUCUGGGAGGGAAGAGCCCAGAGCCUCUGCAGAGGGAGCCCAACACAAGUGUGGCGAGUGCCAAUCUGCAGAGGCUCUGUCCUGACAGCUCGGUGCAACUCGAGAGAGAUGCUUUUCACUGCUGCAUCCCACCACAUCUUGCAGAGAUAUUACCCUCCCACACGUGUUGAUAUUGUUCUCCAGAAGGCGUGUGUUUUUUAUUGUGCUGGUAGAGUUAGAUGAAACUAAUGAGUCAAUGGCCUCACAUUUUUAAACAGAUGGUUGAGAUAUCACUUCUGAUUUCAGUCAGCUGCUGUGCUUUGCUGCCUCUGUGUUUUGGACUGGGUGUUUGGGACUACACCUGUAGGGAAGAGAGGCUUAAAGUGACUUUAGAUCCAGGCCGGUGCCUUGCUGCAGGAAGCCUUCCACCGGCUUUCAUCAGCUGGUUUUUGGUAGGAGCUUUCUGUACGAGGCCUUUAGAGGAGAGUGGUGGAAGGGAGGUAACUGGCAAUGUCCCUUCAAAUGACUUCUUGAAAAAGAAUAAAAUUGUGCCCCAAGAAUGACUGGGGCAUCCUACCCAGCCCCACACCCAGAGGGAGAGCUGCUGACAGUGAUGUCAACCAGAUUUCAAGAGUGUCGGAGAAGCAGUGAUCUGUCCUUUUGGAGAGAUGCUGGUGUUAGGUUUCAUUGUGGAUCUUCACCCUCUCUCAGACUGUAAUGUUCUUACUCAUCUUGAGUAGUACCUCUCUGUGGAAACAGUCCCGCUGGUUUCAGUAGGACUACUCAUGGCAGACACUAAAAUUCAACAUGAGUAAAAAGCUAUACGUGUGUGAUGGAGCAUAUGAAGUUGUUCGGAGUCCUGUGGUGUGCAGGUCCAUGGGCCAUGCUAGGAUACAUGCAUGCUUGUGUAAAAUUCUACGCAAAUGUCCUCAAGGUUGUGUUGAAAUUUCUGCAGAGCUAAAAAUGAAGACAUUUUAGUAAUUGAAGUUGGAAAGAUUUAUUUUCUUCCUCUGUUUUUAAGUAAUUUCCUUCCUGCUGUUGUCUGGGUUGUGCUGGCUGAGCUUAAAAAGUUAGGAGCGGAAGCAACUACGUAUGCAAAAAAGAGACCUCAUGGUAUCUGAGUUCAUGCUAGGAAGUAACUAUAUUCGUAAGUGAGCUCUAAGCAUGGCAAGCAGCACCUUGGUAACACGGAGUUGGCUUUAUGCUGGUCUGAUGUCACAGAUCCGACGUAGACUUUGCAACGAUGCUUUGAUGACAUAGGGUAAAGCUCAUCUCAGCCUUAGCUGUUCUGCAAAUUCGGUAUUGAGACAAAAGGGGUCCUGUCGUUUGUGUAGCUGGUGACAAAGACUGGAGCUGCUGUUCCAUGACAGCACUAGGAGCUAUCUUCGAGAUGGCCAAAGGAAAGGUCCCAUUGAUAGUGACAGUUGUGCAGAUAUCUUUAAAGUAACAGGGAAAAUAAUCAAACAAAAAUGCAAAGUUAUUAGAUGGGAGAAAUUAAAGCCAAAGUAGCAUCGAGCAAAAGAGAUUUACCUGCAGUGCAUGAAGACUGGAAAAAUUACCAAGCAUGUUGGUAUAAUUAGUUUUGCCCCUUUGGGAAUGAUUCUAAUGAGUAUACUUCUGGCUUUCUGGUGUAGUAAAAGGCAUUGCAAGAGAGCUGCUUGGCACCGUGGGCCUAUUUAGCAGAAAGGCUCAUAUGCCCCACAGGGCUCCAGGGCAGAGAGGCUGAGCUGAUGCCUGUGACAAUUCUCAAGUGCAGGCAUAAGCCCCCAGCCCAGAUUUUGGGCGUCUCCAGCACCCACUUCAAAGGUAUUUCAACAAAUCCCUCUCUGAGGUGCUCCAGAGAACAUGGGAAUGGCGAAAGGAAGAACCUUGUUGAGAGAAUGGAAAAAUCCCAUUGCCUGUGUCUUCUCCAAAGGAGUCUGGAGGUGGGAGAGUGCUUUGAGUGGCAUUUGCGGAGGCCGCCAGUCCCACGUAAUUCGUGUAGGAAGUUUCUCACCAUUACAUCUGCCGGGACACUUCUUAGUGACCUAAUUUUGGUGAGCGAGCAACCAUUUGGUAGGACUUUCCUGCCUGACUUUCCGAGUGGUGCUGGGAGCCAGCAGGAACCAGAGCCCAUGUUCAGCACCUCCGGGGCUCGCUGGCUGCUGGGGGCACGCGUUUGGUGGCCCUGUGCCUCCUUCCCGGAGCCCUGCUGGUGUACACAAAGGUGACACUUAAUGGGCAGAAUAUGACAGCAUUGUUAGAAGAAAUAGGACCUUAGGCUACAAAGCAGCCCAAUGCAAGCUUCAGAUCCCACUAUGAGUAACUAGUUGUGGCUUAUUGGAUUUUAAGAGUUUUGCCAAAACAAAGCAACUUUUUUAUACAAGGCACAUGAUUUUCCUCUGAAAGAAUGUUUACAGACUAGAGCUCAUUGCCUCAUCAGUCAGUGUAUCCUUGAUAUUUUCAUUUAUGUGGUUUCUUAUUCAACACGUGUUUGAAUCAGAUGACUUCCAUCCCUUUAUCUGAAUUUAUCUACUGGGAGCACUUUUAAGAGUGAAAUGUCAGUCAGGUGCGUGCCAGACAUGCAAUAAACACUUUUUUUUCCCUUUUUUUUUUUUUUUUUUUUUUUUUUUUUUCCCUCUGCUCCCCAUCUCAGUUCUCUGGAAUUCCCCUCUGCUGUUUUCUCAUUCUUAAUGUCCCUUUUCCACCAGAGAGCAGGUCCAGAGCUUUCUCUGACCAAGGAACAUACGCAGUGAGGUCCUAGGACCAGCUCCACGCUUAGCAUCUUUGAUCCAUUUACGGCACACCAGGGCGCCCUUUUGUUUCCCUGAUGAGAGCCGUUCAAAACUCCUCAUAUUUCUUCAGCUGGUCUGCUCUGGUUUUGCACUGGAGCGCUCCCAUCAAGCCUUCGACAGGUCUAAGAGCUGAGAGCAGCUAGUAGUGCUGCUGGGCUGAGUGUUGUUCAGGGAGGAUUUUCAUUCAGCGUUAAUUAAGUAGCAAAGGAAGGGAAAAUCAGAUAGGUGAGGAGCCUGGGUGGUGAGCCGUGGGAGGGCAGAGAGCACGGUACCUCCCGCAUGGCGAGCUCUCCUCCUGCCUUUCCGUACCUUCUGGCACCUGAUCUGGAUUCCUCUUGUUUCUGCUCUCUUGUGCUGCAGCUGUCUGGGGACCUGAGGAAGUGGCAACACUGGAAGGGGAGCAGAAUGCCAUUACUUGUGGUGAAUUGUGUCUUAGUGCUGAGUGUGGACUGUAAAUAUCUGCACUGGCGUGGUAUUAAUGUGCUUCUCUAUUCACCAUAAUAAUGCAAUCUGCUAGAAAUCCAGGCCAGAAUUUGGAUAAAAGAAGUUCUCUGUUUGUUUUUCCCACACUUAAAAUAAUAUAUCUGAGUAUCGUUAAUACCAGGAUGGAUGUGCAAGAAUGAUGAUAAGGGGUAGGCAUGGGGGUGGUGUGAUGCUGGGCAGAGGCAGCUUGAUGUUUGGCGGUUUAAGGCAUGCAACUUGCGAUGGUUGGAAAUCCCACUGAAAUAUCAGAUCUAAACUAGAUGAGCUUGCAUAUUCGCCCCUUAGCUACAUGUGGAACACUUUUCUGGCUGUUCUGUGCACUGACAUCACAGACCAUCAUAGCUGCUGGCAUCGGUGCCUGUCACACGGAUUGCAUGAGCACAGGGCAACGACUUCAGGCUCCCGAUCAGAAAAUUGAGUGUAAAGAGGAAAUGUGAUUUUGUCGUCUCCUGAGUGCUUUAAAAAAAGACAAGGCAGACACUCAAGAACAAAACUAUGUCUUAAUGAGGCCUACAAGAUCUUUCCAGCAUUAACACACUGCAAUGAGCUCAGACGGCAUCUCCCCGGAGUGCUGAUGUGGGUUUCAAAUGCAUGCGAGUCAGCAGAGGCAAAGUCCUCCUGCUGCAACCCACGGCAAAACCCUCUCCACUUGCCAAGGCGGUCGAUGGCCAUGGUGGCUGCCGGGCAGGAAAGUGCUUAAUGCAUGCUCCGCCACGCAGCUGAAGCCCGGAGGCAUGCAGCACACCGGUAAAGAUCGGUGGGGUAUGGCUGAGCCCUCUUUGCCUUUGGAUGUGCUGCCGAAUUGCACUGACGGUGCCCGAGUGGGACGAGAGCCCCGUUCGCCGGGCUCCGCAGUGCUAACGGGGCACACAACUUCCCAAUAAUUACGAGGUGCUGUGACUGCACAUUUACAUUUGCUGAUGAUGCCGCUGUCUUUCAGAAGAAGGUGUAGAGGGUUUUGCGUGACUUUCAGCUGGAACACAAUGUCACCAACACUCCCCCUCCCAGGCUGGUGGUGCAGCUCUGCUUGCUGGCAGCUCUUUAUUAAUAGACUUGCUAACAUCAAGGAAAGCUUUCUGAACACUUAGGAUACAGGGAGGUGACAGAGACUGCACCUUUUGCUGCUUCGGCUAAUAGCAUGCAGAAAUUAUAAAUAAUGCGUUUUUAUGUUCUGAGACAGCCGAGGGCCCUCCUCCUUGGCCUUUUGAGGUGGCAUCCCGCAGUCCUGACACCUUCGGAGACGCUACUGGGGAUGCUGCUGGGCACUGCUCAGGGAGCUCAGCCACCCUCUGGCUGUACCUCAGUAAGGCACAGGGCACCACAGUGGCCUGAGGCAGCCCCUUUUGCAUUUGCAAUGAAUGAGGAACGUGGCACCUGGUUAGUAACCCUGUUACGUGGGGAGGAAGAUGGUUUUCCAUGGAGGGACAGCGAGGCCUUACGAUCAUCUGACAUGAAUGGGGCAGGACUGUGCCCUUUAUAAGGAGCGAGACUUGGGCUCCUCAGCUCAGGUAGCACCUUCUUCAGGCUUUCUGUGCAGCUCAGUCUCUGCUCCCACAGUACCUACAGCCCCAAGUACAUCCCCGCUUCCAGUAAACCCCAGCCGCUGUCAGGGAAAAUGAAAUGAGGCGGGCUUUAUCAGCUCCAGAUGGAUCAGCCAGCUACAGAAACAGCUCUCGCAUCAUUAGGAUCGGGUAUAACUGAUGCAGGAACUCCUGCUGGCACGUUUCUGAACAUCUCUGUAGGAUACGGCAUGCAGCCUCCAGGCCUUGAUGGAAAUGUAAAAGACUUACGGAGAUGUGGCAACGACCACGGCUGAACUGAUCGGUUGUGAGGCAAGUACUGGGCUUCUUGGUACUCUUGUGUAGCUCCGGGCCAAGGGAGCGGCAGCUGCACUGCCCCGCUCAGAUCUGUGGGCAGACGGGGCUCCAAGCCACAGGCAGCAGUCCCUUUCUGUCGGGGACAGCCCAGGUGAGCGAGGGCCGGCAGCUGAGCCAGGCCCCUCUGCACUGACGCCUUCCCGGUAGACUUAGUAGGCUGCUGAGCAAGGGCUUUUUCUGUGUUGCAAGUAACUUUGUGUUAAGGCCUGCUGUGCUAUGACAUUUUUAAGGAAAUCACUAGAGGGUAUUUUCUCCAGUCUCCCACAACAGCACAGAGUGUGCUUUUUAUUCCAUUUUGCCAUAGUAAUGGCAUUAACUUCUGGGAAAGCAGACGGCAGGAGCUCCAGGUCUGGCUUUCUUAUUGACAAGCUCCUUGGAGAGAAGACAACUCACUUUAGCCAUCUCCACAAAAGCUGCUGUGCCAAAUAAUUGGGGCCAUCUGAAGCAGCCUGAAUACCCAGUUCCCUUGCAGCACAUCAUCUAGCAGGGUGGGGAAGGUUGAGCCAUGUGUCUGUUCCUGUACUCUGUUUUGUUCCUGUAUUUUGUUUUGUUGUUUAACAAAGCCUCUUGCCUUUAAGGAAAAAAUCCCUCUGGCAAAUGACCCAUUUCAGGUAGAUGGAGGCAAUGACACAGCCUUGCAUUGCCUCUUGUCAGAUCAAAUGGCAACCCGCUGAGAGAAAAGAGGGGGAAAAAAGUAUUAAAUCCCCGACGGGGUUUCUGAAGUAGACGCACAUUAUGAGUAACGCACUUAGUGAUCACUCGAGAAGGGUUUGGGGAAUCUUUUCUUUUCGUACCGGUGGUUUUGAUCUCGGCUCUAAGUGGUUUGGGCCCUUUAUGGUACCAAUUAUCUCCUUAUAGUUUGGAGUUAAAAUACCAGGCUGCUUUGCUAUCUGAGGGCAUCCAUUUUGCACAUUCAAAAGUGUGAAAGGUAACCCAAAGAUUCAGCAAAUUGGCCCUUAUCCUUUAAUUCGUCUGCUUUAAAAAGCCCACAAGCCUCAGCAGGCUUUAUGUACUGAAGACUUUUUUUUUUUUUCCUUAGGAUUUCUGCUUCUCUCACAGCUUAGUUUUUGUUUGAAGACAAACUCUUUAGGUGACAAGACAGAAAAGGAUUGUGACAGACAGACAGAAGAUAAAAAAAAUCAAAGGGAUUCUGAGUUCAGGUGUGGGAAUGAAUAUCCCAGGACAUAUUGGGAGGGUUUGUGUUUUAUGGGGUGUGUGUAAAGGCCUCAUGUAAAUCGGAAAUAUUAGGAUCUUGGUAUUUGAGCUUGUUGGGAAUACUAACUGCAAAUGUUCAUAUUCUAAUGUAUAAUGUUGAACUCUUAAAAAAUAAAAAAUAAAAUAAAAGUUACGUUCUCCAAACAGCUCUUGUAAUGAAAUCCCUCUCAAAAGACAGAUGAAGCAUGGGAAGCAUUCAUGGCACUGUAUCAAAAUAGAAAGCUGUAGAAAGUUCUCACU